rnacentral:lncRNA from 1 species
GGUUUUGUUCAAUUCCAUUGCUUGUUUGGUUGUGUUUUCCUGUAAUUCUUUAAGGGAUUUUUGUGUUUCCUCUUUAAGGGCUUCUACCUCUUUAGCACUGUUCUCCCGUAUUUAAGCCAGUUUUUAAUGCCCUUCUUAAUGCCCUCUACCAGCAUCAUGAGAUAUGAUUUUUAAAUUCGAGUCUUGCUUUUCAGGUGUAUUGGAGGAUCCAGGACUGGCUGAAGUAGGAAAGCUGGGUUCUGAUUAUGGUGAGUGGUCUUGGUUUCUGUUGGUAGGAUUCUUAUGUUUGCCUUUCGCCAUCUGGUAGUCUCUGGAGUUAGUUGUUAUAGUUGUCUCUGGUUGGAGCCUGUUCCUCCUGUGAUUCUGUUAUCCUCUGUCAGCAGUCCUGGGAUUCCAGAUCUCUCCUGAGUCUCACUGGUCGGAGUACUCUCUGCAGGCAAGCUCUCUUCUUGCAGGGAAGGUGCAGAGAGGUCUGGUGUUCAGACCUGCCUCCUGGCUGAAGAUGAAGGCCCAAAUCAGGGCCUGUCCCAGAAGAUGUGUUUGUUGCCUCUGUGGUCUGCACGCUCACCUGCACAGACUGGUCUCUGAGGGACCUGGGACCCAAGAUGACUCCCUUACCUGUUUAGGCAGUCAGAGCCCUUUCCUCUGUUGGGGAAGGUGCCUGGAUGUCUGGAGCCCGAAAAGGGUUCUGUUCCAGAUGCUGUGUCGAUUCUGCAGUCCGCACUCUCACCUGUGCAGAUUGGUCUCUGAGGGACCCAGGGUCCAAGAUGGCUCCCUUACCUGUUCAAGCAGUCAGCCACAUUAGUGUUCUUAAUAGACUAAAGUGUGUAUUCAGUAUUUGUCAGGGAAAAAACAGUUGUCUCUCUGCAGACAACCACUUCUGUAGUAGACCUAUUCAUCUGUGUCUGCACAUAUACUACGCAUCUUCUGUUAUGUUGCCCAAGUGAAGGAGGAUGCUAGAGAGGUCCUUGAGUUCAGUUGCCCGCAACCACAUGGUGGCUGACAAUCUUCUGUAAUGGAAUCCGAUGCCCUCUUCCAGUGUGUCUGAAGAUAGCUACAGUAUACUCAUAUACAUAUAUAAUGAAUAAAUCUUUAGCAGGUGAAAACUGUGCUCAGGGAAGGCCACUGGCUUUCUGUCAGAUACCAGCAAAGAAGGGCUGAGACAUGGCUGCCUAACCUCGCAGGACAGCAAGCAUGAAGCAAGCUUCAACAAGGGUAUUCUGAGAUUUGGAACUGAGUAUGUGGGAUGAAUUGACCAGAAGGAGAAAAGAUGAGAUUGGUUUGUCAACUGAAGUGGGAAUAAGAUAAAGUCUCUCCUUUUCUCAAUGUGGACCCAGAGUCUCACUCAGGUUUUCCAGAAUGGAGCACCUCCACGCUACCUCAUGAGCUAUUGCUGAGGGAACUGGGAAGAGGAGACAUUAAGAGAAUGAAGAUGCACAUGGAGCAGACAAAGAAAGCAGACGAAGAAAGCGCUCUAUCUCACCACU